CUAAGACUGCGCUAAUCCG
rnacentral:tRNA from 1 species